rnacentral:rRNA from 1 species
AGUGAACGCUGGCGGUAGGCCUAACACAUGCAAGUCGAACGGCAGCACAGUAAGAGCUUGCUCUUACGGGUGGCGAGUGGCGGACGGGUGAGGAAUACAUCGGAAUCUACUUUUUCGUGGGGGAUAACGUAGGGAAACUUACGCUAAUACCGCAUACGACCUACGGGUGAAAGCAGGGGAUCUUCGGACCUUGCGCGAUUGAAUGGGCCGAUGUCGGAUUAGCUAGUUGGCGGGGUAAAGGCCCGCCAAGGCGACGAUCCGUAGCUGGUCUGAGAGGAUGAUCAGCCACACUGGAACUGAGACAAGGUCCAGAAUCCUACGGGAGGCAGCAGUGGGGAAUAUUGGACAAUGGGCGCAAGCCUGAUCCAGCAAUACCGCGUGGGUGAAGAAGGCCUUCGGGUUGUAAAGCACUUUUGUUGGGAAAGAAAAGCAGCAGGUUAAUACGCCGCUGUUCUGACGGUACCCAAAGAAUAAGCACCGGCUAACUUCGUG